rnacentral:lncRNA from 1 species
CACUGAGUAGCCAAGGAUCCUGGCUGGGGAUGUUUUCUACCUUUAAAUCACACCAUAUCUUGUUCCUAUUGCCUGCAGUAUUAUGAGCAUAUACUACACUCAAAUGGAAUCUGAGUGACGCUUGUGUGUCCUCCACCAUACAUUGGAUGAAUUGAUCAGUCACAGUAGAGAUGGAUACUUGAACAUGAGGUUUCCAUAGCAACCAUAUCCUACCAUUGACAGCCUUUGUAUAGUUACAUUGCACCUUCCAUCCAUGAGCCACCUUUGCCAGUAUUCUUUUAGCUAUAUACUCCUUAAUUCUAGUUUCAAGUACUCCUAUAAUAUCUACUUUAUAGUUUCCAUAGCAACCAUAUCCUACUAUUGACAGCCUUCGUAUAGUUACAUUGCACCUUCCAUCCUUUAGCCACCUUUGCC